UGAACUGGUGCUGUUAAAUUCUCUAACCUGUCUCCAAGGACUAUUGUUGGAAGUGAUUAAAAUGAACGGAUUAAUCUCCUUGCCUGUGUGACAUGAAAACAUAUUACCUUGGAAUGGAUCGUGGGAUGCUAUUUAUGCGGACACUGUCAGCAGGUUGUUCAAAAAAUGUCAAAAAUAUCCCAUUCAAUGGAUGGGGAGCAAGAUGAUUUGUUGCGGAGAGAUGAUUCUGAAACCAAAAGCGCCAAAAGCUGCUCAAGACUGGGACCCUUACGAUGGUAGCCAAAGUGAUUCAGAAUGAAUUUGAUAAACUCUUUACGUCGGAUGCUGAAGACAAGAAUUUAUUGGUCUUUGGAACAUUUUGAUUGUGGUUAACAGUAUUCAAUAAAGUGUGUCGCAUU